AGUUUCUUGUAUGCUUGCUUAGGUAAUUGGAAUGAUACAGAGAAAAUUAGUGCGUGCAAUGAUGCCAUGCAAACUUGUGAAUCAUUACAUAUUUUU
ensembl:snRNA U6 U6 spliceosomal RNA